rnacentral:rRNA from 1 species
CACGUAGGGGGCGAGCGUUGUCCGGAAUCAUUGGGCGUAAAGAGCUCGUAGGCGGCUCAGUAAGUCGGGUGUGAAACCCCCAGGCUCAACCUGGGGACGCCACCCGAUACUGCUGUGGCUAGAGUCCAGUAGGGGAGUGUGGAAUUCCCGGUGUAGUGGUGAAAUGCGCAGAUAUCGGGAGGAACACCAGCGGCGAAGGCAGCUCGCUGGGACGUUACUGACGCUGAGACGCGAAAGCGUGGGGAGCAAACAGG